GUUGUAGAGAAUGAUAGUACUCCAAGGUCUUGUUAAAAGUAAAACUUAACUUUUAGUCAGGUUGUUACCAUUAAAACAAAUCGUUUUUUUUAACAAGACCUUGGAGUGCUAUCAUUCUCUACAAC